rnacentral:rRNA from 1 species
GCCCAGACUCCUACGGGAGGCAGCAGUGGGGAAUAUUGGACAAUGGGGGGAACCCUGAUCCAGCGACGCCGCGUGAGUGAAGAAGUAUUUCGGUAUGUAAAGCUCUAUCAGCAGGGAAGAAAGAAAUGACGGUACCUGACUAAGAAGCCCCGGCUAACUACGUGCCAGCAGCCGCGGUAAUACGUAGGGGGCAAGCGUUAUCCGGAUUUACUGGGUGUAAAGGGAGCGUAGACGGUGAGACAAGUCUGAAGUGAAAGCCCGGGGCUCAACCCCGGGACUGCUUUGGAAACUGCCUGACUGGAGUGCUGGAGAGGCAAGCGGAAUUCCUAGUGUAGCGGUGAAAUGCGUAGAUAUUAGGAGGAACAUCAGUGGCGAAGGCGGUCUGCUGGACAGCAACUGACGCUGAGGCGCGAAAGCGUGGGGAGCAAACAGGAUUAGAUACCCGAGUACUC